UCAUUUUACAAAAUUUAGCCCUUUUUUGACAGCAUAUGGAGGCCCUUUCAUUUAUUUGUAGAUGGAUAAACGAAUGAAUGAUUGAUAAAUAAAGAUCUUUCUAGUCCGAUCUCUCAUUUUUCUUGGUGCUUUCUGUUGGCAAAAAUGUUGGACACCUCGAUCUCAGACCAGACCUGCCCUCUUGACUUCAGACGCAAACUGAGAAGAACGACCCCGGGUUUAGCCGAGCAACCGACCAACUGAAGUGAGCGACCUCGAUUCAAACCGAAGAGCCAUUAGCCGAGAAAAGUAAUCAAUACGUGUCGACAAGGACUGACAGUUAUAACAACCGACAGGUAUGGUAGCUCGUAGUCACAAAAGCACUACGGCAUGCACCCCAUCGGCACUACUCGCCGCCUAUGCGGACUGCACCCACGCUUUUGCCGUAUUACCGGUCAUUACCUAACCAUCAUUGUACACCAUGUUAGGCCAAAUAACGACAAAAUGAGCUCCUCUAUAUAAAAAUGCAGCUCAGAGGACCUCAAGUAUGUAUAGAAUAUUACUCGUAGAACCUACUCUCUGUUGAA
rnacentral:lncRNA from 1 species